GCGGCAAUAGCUCAGUGGUAGAGCCCCGCUUCGCAUGCGGGGAGGCCUGGGUUCGAUUGCCGGAUGCUUCC
rnacentral:tRNA from 1 species